rnacentral:tRNA from 3 species
CGGGCUGUAGCGCAGCUUGGUAGCGCGCUGCGUUCGGGACGCAGAGGUCCCGGGUUCAAAUCCCGGCAGCCCGACCA